GGUAGUUGCAAAGAUGAAAGAAGUAAUUGAAAAUGUUACAUUUCAAACCUCAACUCCUGCAUCCAACUGGUCAACAUCCACAACAUCUGUGGGCUCACCAGUUUCUGCAUGUGUUUCUCCUCAAGUAGUGUCUGAUGAUAUGGUGUGUCUUCUGCCAGGCUCUAAUGUUGAAGUCCCUAGACGAAAGCUUAACUCUCUGCGGACGGCAAAUCCGUCCGUGUACAUCGGGGACCUUGCUGUGCUUGUCUAUGGCAGGGAAACAUUGUCACAUUCAAGUUUGACAGGGAGACAGUCAGGGGCACACAAAGACGUGGAAUCAAAGCCACAACUCGAAAACACAAAACUUGAUGCUAUAAUUGGUCAUGCUCUAUCAAAGUUCCCUGACAUCAGUGUCCAAGAUGUGAGACGCAUCAUAAGAAAAAAAUGCAACAACGAAAGCUAUACCAGGCAAGCCACAGCAAAGAAGACCAUGUGAAAAGAACUUUUUUCCCCUUUAGUUGAACAUUUUUGGUUACAUUUGUGGUUCCUCUGUCUCAGGAUGACCAUUUAACAACUGUACAAAAUUGCUUGUGGGCAGCCAGGGACUGAUCUUGUAGAGGC
ensembl:lncRNA